GACCUCAAAUCAGGUAGGACUACCCGCUGAACUUAAGCAUAUCAAUAAGCGGAGGAAAAGAAACUAACAAGGAUUCCCCUAGUAACUGCGAGUGAAGAGGGAAAAGCUCAAAUUUAAAAUCUGACAGUCUUUGGCUGACCGAGUUGUAAAUUAGAGAAGUGCUAUCUGCGCUGGCCUGUGCAAAAGUCUCUUGGAAAAGAGCAUCAUAGAGGGUGACAAUCCCGUCUUUGGUACAGAGCUCCAGGGCUUCAUGAUGUGCUCUCAAUGAGUCGAGUUGUUUGGGAAUGCAGCUCUAAAUGGGUGGUAAAUUCCAUCUAAAGCUAAAUAUUGGCGAGAAACCGAUAGCGCACAAGUACCGUGAGGGAAAGAUGAAAAGAACUUUGAAAAGAGAGUUAAACAGUACGUGAAAUUGUUGAAAGGGAAACGC
rnacentral:rRNA from 1 species